GACAGAGGGUGCAAACGUUGUUCGGAAUUACUGGGCGUAAAGCGAGUGUAGGCGGUCUGAAAAGUCGGAUGUGAAAGCCCCGGGCUCAACCCGGGAAGUGCAUUCGAAACUGCCAGGCUAGAGUGUCGGAGAGGUUGGUGGAAUUCUCGGUGUAGAGGUGAAAUUCGUAGAUAUCGAGAGGAACACCGGUGGCGAAGGCGGGUCUCUGGGCAACUCCUGACGCUGAGGCGCGAAAGCGUGGGGAGCAAACGGG
rnacentral:rRNA from 1 species